rnacentral:misc_RNA from 1 species
AUGAGAAGCUGAUUGUACAGAAAGCGACACGAAACUGCUAGAUUUAUUUACAUUGCCGAGUGAUUCUUAUGUGCAGAAAAAGUAAAAAUAAAAAGAAAGUUAGUAAAGUGCGUGCAUAGGGUUAUUUCUUGAUGUGCGCCGGUUUCUAGUUCAAGAAUUUGGACGUGCGUACGUUUUAUUUGGCUACAGUGGAAUCAGCUAACAUUUGGACAGUAACACGUUAGGCGUGUGAGAGUAUGCGAUAGAGAGUUUAAUGAUAAGACACUUAACUCCAUAUAAUUUUGAGGUGAAAUAAGUGCAUCGUUCAGUUCAUUCAAUUCAGUGCCCGAAAAGGGUUUGCCGAAGUCGCUUGCGUCGCUUAGAUACCAGAUGUCACAGUCUCAGAGGCUACGUGAUGAUGAUAUAUUGGAAAUAUUAGAGGAAGAA